UACGUAGGGUGCGAGCGUUAAUCGGAAUUACUGGGCGUAAAGCGAGCGCAGACGGUUAUUUAAGCAGGAUGUGAAAUCCCUGGGCUCAACCUGGGAACUGCGUUCUGAACUGGAUAGCUAGAGUAUGUCAGAGGGGGGUAGAAUUCCACGUGUAGCAGUGAAAUGCGUAGAGAUGUGGAGGAAUACCGAUGGCGAAGGCAGCCCCCUGGGAUAAUACUGACGUUCAUGCUCGAAAGCGUGGGUAGCAAACAGG
rnacentral:rRNA from 1 species